rnacentral:rRNA from 1 species
AGAGUGAACGCUGGCGGCAGGCCUAACACAUGCAAGUCGAACGGCAGCACAGCAGAGCUUGCUCUGUGGGUGGCGAGUGGCGGACGGGUGAGGAUAACGUCGGAAUCUGCCUAUUUGUGGGGGAUAACGUAGGGAAACUUACGCUAAUACCGCAUACGACCUACGGGUGAAAGCGGAGGACCUUCGGGCUUCGCGCAGAUAGAUGAGCCGACGUCGGAUUAGCUAGUUGGCGGGUAAAGGCCCACCAAGGCGACGAUCCGUAGCUGGUCUGAGAGGAUGAUCAGCCACACUGGAACUGAGACACGGUCCAGACUCCUACGGGAGCAGCAGUGGGGAAUAUUGGACAAGUGGGCGCAAGCCUGAUCCAGCCAUCGCCGCGUGUGUAGAAGAAGGCCUUCGGUUGUAAAGUCACUUUAGUAACGGAAGAAAAGCGACCGAAGUUAACUACCCUGGCGUCAGUGACGGUAACCGUAAG